CAUCCAUCGGGCAGCUUGCCCAGUUUUUCCCGAACUUCCUAAAACCAUUCGCACGUGGGACGAGAGAAAUGACGGAAUAGCGGGAUUUGAGGGAGUUUGGGCGUGUGGGACCCGACGGGGCUGGGCUGCCCUGCUGCCCCUCCCUGUGCCUGAUCAUCUUGCAGCGUUGCACGGCUGCUCCCGCAGAUGUUUUGGGGGACAUUUCCCCUUUUUUUCCCCCCUCUGCAGGCAAAUCCAGCGGUACCAAAUCCCGCCUGGAGCCAGAGGACAGUGAGGACUGCCUUGAACAUGUUCCAUAGGGAAUGGUGCGGGAUGUGCGUGGGAAAACUCCUUUUCCUGGGAAAGGACAAGCCUGGAUGUUUGGAGAUGCUCAGGGCACAUCUGGAUGUGGGGUGUGGUGUCCGUGCCAGGUGUUUGGGUGGGAUUUGGAAUUCCCUGUGGUUUGCAGCCCUUCCUGGGUGCCUGGGUGGAGCAGGGCAGGAUGUGGUCCUGAUGGACUUGGGAAAUGGCUGGAAAUGCCCCCGGGAGCUGGGAGAGGUUUCCAGCCAAACUCGGUGUUUUGGGAUGUGUGCCCUGGGUGGUGAGGAGACAAUUCCACCCUGGCUCAUCGCAGCUUUGGCAUUUGUUCCUCACACUGCUCAUCUGGGGAGGGUCUCAGUGAGUCCUUGUCACCCCAAAAUGAGCCCCACCAGGCAAUUCCAUCCUCAUCCCCUACUUUUCCAUCCCCAGCUCCAGCUGUGGAGCGUAAACCUUCUCCGGUGCCAACAUGCAAACCCCACCAUCCCAACAGAGGAUCAGCUUGGAUCCAUUCCACUUCCAAACCUCCUGCUUGGUGGUGACACCCAAAAAUCUCCUGCCUGGCUCUGGAGCAGCAGCUUGGGUUGGUUGUUUGGGGUCUGGCUGCUGCCGCUGCUCCGUGCUCCAGGUGUUCAGCUGAGGGUGGCUCUGGGCCCCAUGGCGGGAUGGGCUCAUUCCAUGGGGAUCCUGCUGCCUUUCCAAGCCUCCCACGGCUGCUGGAGGCCGAACGGGACCUGCCAGCUCCUGACACCGCACCUGCCGGAUUUUGGGUGCUGGAGGUGGGCCCGCGAGGCGGCGGCUCCUGGCGCCAAUCGCUCUGGGAGAGGGAUCCACGGGAGGCCUUCAAUCCCGCUUUAUUAAAGCAUGACCAGAUCCACGGGCUCCGUCACACAGGAGUAAUGGAGCGGCGUGAUUGGAGUCAUGUGGCCCUUCCUUAAGGCCAGAAAUUAAGACCUCACUGCUAUUCCUGGCUCUGCCCGGGACGCGCCGCCUUGGCGCCAGCGGGAGCUGCCGGCAUCCGUCAGAAAACCUCGGGAUGAGACAGCUCCUCACAUCCCCACCGACACCAGGGCGGCAGAUCCGAGACCCUCCGGGGUCAGCCAAACCCUGGAAGGUCUUGGCACCCUCCUAGGUUGGGAUAUUUCCAUUUCAUUAAGGAAAUGCUGCUGCCUCCCAUCGAUCCCCGCUUGGACGGCCACAUCCUGGUGCUCGGGAGCCAGGGUUUGGCAGGGGUGGGGAAAAACCACCUGAGCCGUCAUUUCGUUCUUCCCCGUGCGCUAAAAAUGCCGGAGGAAGCAUUAGGGCAAGCGGGGGUAGUUGCUGGAAGUAAUGCAAAGUAGAUUUUCCAAAUCUAUUAUUUAUAGGCGGAGAAAGGGAUUGUGUAUUCCUUCAGGAACCGGCCCCGGGCUCCGCUCCACCCGCAGCAAAGCGGAACGCUCGCGGCCUCGCUGCUCUCAGCGGAAAGUUCCAGUCGGGGAAAAGAGUUUUCCUUCCUGAUCCCUCCCCAUUGGGAAAACCAGGGAUUUUCCCCUCUUUUCCCCAGCUGCAGGGUUGGGGUGGACAUUCCUGCCCCGUGUGACCUUGGGAGGGUCCCUUAUCCACCUGCCUCUCCCCAAAAACGGGUGGUGGCAUCGUGGUGCCGCCCGCGCUCCCUGUCCCAUCUGCGCCCACCCCGGGACCCCCGGGCGGUGCCGGGACGCUUCAUUCCCAGCGGGAAUUCGCUGCUGCAGUGCGGAUUGUGGAGGUGGCGGGGGGGACCUAAAUGAACAAUUUGCUUCGUUAAGUGACCUUGUUAAUCGGAGCCUUCUGGUUUGGCACGGGAACAGGCGCUGUGUGAACCAGCAGAGCACUAAUUACCCAC
rnacentral:lncRNA from 1 species